CCUACGGGAGGCAGCAGUGAGGAAUAUUGGUCAAUGGGGGAAACCCUGAACCAGCAACGCCGCGUGAGGGAAGACGGUUUUCGGAUUGUAAACCUCUGUCCUCUGUGAAGAUAGUGACUGUAGCAGGGGAGUAAGCUCCGGCUAACUACGUGCCAGCAGCCGCUAGCAUACGGAGGGAGCGCGCGUUGUACGGAUUUACUGGGUGUAAAGGGUGCGUAGGCGGGCCUGCAAGUCAGAAGGGAAAUACAUGGGCUUAACCCGUGAACUGCCUUUGAAACUGCAGGACUUGAGUGGAGUAGAGGUAGGCGGAAUGCCCGGUGUAGCGGUGAAAUGCGUAGAGAUCGGGAGGAACACCAGUGGCGAAGGCGGCAUACUGGGCUUUAACUGACGCUGAAGCACGAAAGCGUGGGUAGCAAACAGGAUUAGAUACCCUUGUAGUC
rnacentral:rRNA from 1 species